rnacentral:sRNA from 1 species
UAGCUAUCGAAUGUGAUAACUGGCGUGC